UUUUCCCGCGUUUUUUCUCUGCCGGAGGUCAUUGCUAUUGGAGUCCGAUUUAGCCAUGCUAGUUGCACGAGUUCAGACUCGUAGCAGAUAGCUCAGUAACACGUGGCCAAACUACCCUAUGGAUCCGAAUAACCUCGGGAAACUGAGGCUAAUGCGGAAUAGCGUUCAUCGCCUGGAGUGGCACGAACGCGAAACGUUACGGCGCCAUAGGAUGUGGCUGCGGCCGAUUAGGUAGACGGUGGGGUAACGGCCCACCGUGCCCAUAAUCGGUACGGGUUGUGAGAGCAAGAGCCCGGAGACGGUAUCUGAGACAAGAUACCGGGCCCUACGGGGCGCAGCAGGCGCGAAACCUUUACACUGCACGCGAGUGCGAUAAGGGGACUCCGAGUGCGAGGGCAUAUAGUCCUCGCUUUUCACGACCGUAAGGUGGUCGUAGAAUAAGUGCUGGGCAAGACCGGUGCCAGCCGCCGCGGUAAUACCGGCAGCACGAGUGAUGACCGCUAUUAUUGGGCCUAAAGCGUCCGUAGCUGGCCACGCAAGUCUAUCGGGAAAUCCGCGCGCUUAACGCGCGGGCGUCCGGUGGAAACUGCGUGGCUUGGGACCGGAAGACCAGAGGGGUACGUCCGGGGUAGGAGUGAAAUCCCGUAAUCCUGGACGGACCACCGGUGGCGAAAGCGCCUCUGGAAGACGGAUCCGACGGUGAGGGACGAAAGCUCGGGUCACGAACCGGAUUAGAUACCCGGGUAGUCCGAGCUGUAAACGAUGUCUGCUAGGUGUGGCACAGGCUACGAGCCUGUGCUGUGCCGUAGGGAAGCCGUGAAGCAGACCGCCUGGGAAGUACGUCCGCAAGGAUGAAACUUAAAGGAAUUGGCGGGGGAGCACUACAACCGGAGGAGCCUGCGGUUUAUUGAUCU
rnacentral:rRNA from 1 species